AUUGAACGCUGGCGGCAGGCCUAACACAUGCAAGUCGAGCGGAUGAAGGGAGCUUGCUCCUGGAUUCAGCGGCGGACGGGUGAGUAAUGCCUAGGAAUCUGCCUGGUAGUGGGGGAUAACGUCCGUAAACGGGCGCUAAUACCGCAUACGUCCUGAGGGAGAAAGUGGGGGAUCUUCGGACCUCACGCUAUCAGAUGAGCCUAGGUCGGAUUAGCUAGUUGGUGGGGUAACGGCCUACCAAGGCGACGAUCCGUAACUGGUCUGAGAGGAUGAUCAGUCACACUGGAACUGAGACACGGUCCAGACUCCUACGGGAGGCAGCAGUGGGGAAUAUUGGACAAUGGGCGAAAGCCUGAUCCAGCCAUGCCGCGUGUGUGAAGAAGGUCUUCGGAUUGUAAAGCACUCUAAGUUGGGAGGAAGGGCAGUAAGUUAAUACCUUGCUGUUUUGACGUUACCAACAGAAUAAGCACCGGCUAACUUCGUG
rnacentral:rRNA from 1 species